GACAGAGGUGCCGAGCGUUAGGCGGAAUCACUGGGCUUAAAGCGUGUGUAGGCGGAUUACUAAGUACCUUGUGAAAUCCCACGGCUUAACCGUGGAACUGCUUGGUAUACUGGGUGUCUUGAGCCAACUAGAGGCAGUCGGAACAAACGGUGGAGCGGUGAAAUGCGUAGAUAUCGUUUGGAACGCCAAUGGUGAAAACAGACUGCUGGGGUUGUGCUGACGCUGAGACACGAAAGCCAGGGGAGCGAACGGG
rnacentral:rRNA from 1 species